GGGGCUGACCGGUUUUGACAGCAAGAUGGAUGAUACUGUAAGCAAGCCGGGGAUUGAAUAGCACCUCGUUAAAAAGCUGUUUAAAAUUGUAACUGGCGAAACAUCUUACGCUCUUGCUGCUUAAUCAUUCGAUAGAAGAUUAGGCUUUAUCUCAUACUAGGUAUGGGACGAGACGUCUCUGGCACGGGUUUGUCUGACCCCUGUGUUGAUAGAGGCGUGGUCAAUGACAGAAUAGAAUGAUCAUUUCUUUGCUGAUUGUUUGAAAAUUAAGAAGAUAAGUUUUGGUUUGGCUGCCUCUGGCCUGGCUAAGAUCGAAAAUCAAUCAGAAGGCUAAGCUCGUAGAAAGCUUUAUGGUUCCUUGUUUGGACGUGGGUUCGACUCCCACCAGCUCCACAA
rnacentral:tmRNA from 1 species